rnacentral:misc_RNA from 1 species
GAUCAAUUUCGGUCUCAUGCUUCGCAAUAUACGGCCGGAAAAAUGUCUCAUAGACAUAUUUUGUUCCCUUUGUUUUAGGAAACCACAGGUACACAAAGAAUGCCAGCUUUGCUUCACUGUACAUCGGUAGCCAAGAGAUAAAGGUAUCUCCAAUCCUCUCCGAGACAGUCAGAACAGCAACUAGGAUCCAAUACUGACACCAGAAUCGUAGCUCCUCG